AUCGAGCUCAGGGAACCGGGCGGGAACGAGCUGGGGGAACUGGGACGGUCUGAGGAAACCGGACGGGAUCGAGCUGAGGGAACCGAGCAGGAUCGAACUGAGGGGACUGGGGCAGUCUGAGGAAUCGGGCGGGAUCGAGCUGAGGGGACAAGGGGCGGUCUGAGGGAACCGGGCAGGAUUGAGCUGAGGGGACCGGGGCGGUCUGAGGACGCGGUGGGAGCGAACUGAGGGAGCUAGAACUGGAGCUGAGGGACAGAGGGAGCGAGCUGAGGGAACCGAGACGGCCGAGGGACAUGGAGGAGCGAGCUGAGGGGACCAGGGCGGCCCUGAGGGGCAGGCAGGAGCGAGCUGAGCGGGAGCCCGAUCAGUGCAAACCUUGAGGGGGCCCAGGCUUGUGUGGCUGAGCGGGCACAGAGGGCGGAUUCCCUUCAAGUGAGGAAUGCAGUUGUAUGAACCUCCAUGUUCUUUCUCGUCAUCUUCCAGGAGAAAUCCCAGGCUGAGCUCCUGCAAGAUAAAUUACACCUGUAUUCUUCACUCACUUUCCUGGCAGCAGGAUCUGCAUGCAAGGCUCCUUCCUCUCCACUGCUUUCACCCACGAGUCUAAUUGAACUGCACAUUGCAGAAUGCAGUGUGUGGAGGGAGUGCACAGCACCAGUGUGAGCAGGUGUCCCCUGUGUUGGAUGAGCUGGUGCCGCUGCAGGUAAGGGAAUGGUUUUCUGCUGGUGCAACAGGAAAGCCAAAGGGCAGCCCCAGCUCUGGGACAGAACUGUUCUGGACUCACAGUCAGGUGCCAGGAAUGCUCUUACAGAUACAGCAGCCCAUACCUUCAGAAGCAUGGAAGAAGAGGAGGGGCUGUCUCAGAUUAUUUCUGUCUAAUAUUUUUGCUUAAAAUUGAGUUCACCGUGUUAUUUUCCAGCUUAUCUCAUCACCCUUCCUUUUUUUUUUUUUUUUUUUUUUUUUUUUUCCCUUCUAGAAUGUCCCAUCCCUUCAAGUUUCAUUUUUGGAAUUUAAUAUCUCCUGUUGAUGAUUUCUGUUCCUUAUCUUCUCUUGAUCCAUUUCUGCUUCUCUUUUAGAUUCUGUCUCCUUCAGUCUCCAGCUAAUGUUUCCCCAUAUGUCAGAUUAAAAAAAAAAAAAAUUUACAAAUACUGGGCUGUGAAAGGAACUAGGGAAUGCUUAUGUGGUUGCAGCAGGCUGACCAUUAAAGUGACUUUAU